GGCAUGUGUUGCCCAUGAAACAAUGACAAGAGCUCGAGCUUCAAAGACUUUCCCUCGUACAAGAAAAACUCAUUAACCAAAAUUGACAAGUGGAAGAUCAAAAGAAAACCCUAAAUACUUUCAGGAUUGUCUGUUAAGCUUAUCAUAUAA